UACGUAGGGUGCAAGCGUUGUCCGGAAUUAUUGGGCGUAAAGAGCUCGUAGGCGGUCUGUCGCGUCUGGUGUGAAAACUCAAGGCUUAACCUUGGGCCUGCAUCGGGUACGGGCAGACUAGAGUGCGGUAGGGGAGACUGGAAUUCCUGGUGUAGCGGUGAAAUGCGCAGAUAUCAGGAGGAACACCGGUGGCGAAGGCGGGUCUCUGGGCCACUACUGACGCUGAGAAGCGAAAGCAUGGGGAGCGAACAGG
rnacentral:rRNA from 1 species